GAUGAACGCUGGCGGCGUGCCUAAUACAUGCAAGUCGAGCGAACAGAUGAGGAGCUUGCUCCUCUGGCGUUAGCGGCGGACGGGUGAGUAACACGUGGAUAACCUACCUAUAAGACUGGGAUAACUUCGGGAAACCGGAGCUAAUACCGGAUAAUAUAUUGAACCGCAUGGUUCAAUAGUGAAAGACGGUUUUGCUGUCACUUAUAGAUGGAUCCGCGCCGCAUUAGCUAGUUGGUAAGGUAACGGCUUACCAAGGCAACGAUGCGUAGCCGACCUGAGAGGGUGAUCGGCCACACUGGAACUGAGACACGGUCCAGACUCCUACGGGAGGCAGCAGUAGGGAAUCUUCCGCAAUGGGCGAAAGCCUGACGGAGCAACGCCGCGUGAGUGAUGAAGGUCUUCGGAUCGUAAAACUCUGUUAUUAGGGAAGAACAAAUGUGUAAGUAAAUAUGCACGUCUUGACGGUACCUAAUCAGAAAGCCACGGCUAACUACGUG
rnacentral:rRNA from 1 species